rnacentral:lncRNA from 1 species
CCCAUUCGCUACCUAUUCGUUAGUGUCAGAUUUUCUUUUUAUUUUCUUAACGCGGUUACUCUCUUACGUAGCGAAGAGAAUAUUUCGCGGAUCGGUCAAUAAUAAAACCUAGCGUAGAAUUAACUUUUUGGCAUGAAUACUCGAAUAAAGUAACCGAUCGUUCUUUAUUUGAUUAGUUUGUUAAAACCGUAUCGUGUACUGCUGCCACCCUUAUAUUAGUCCCGAUUGGACGCGCCCAAUAAUUACGAUCUAUACGUGAAAUCUUACCGGUCGUAAAAA